rnacentral:rRNA from 1 species
GAUGAACGCUGGCGGCGUGCCUAAUACAUGCAAGUCGAGCGAACAGACGAGGAGCUUGCUCCUCUGACGUUAGCGGCGGACGGGUGAGUAACACGUGGAUAACCUACCUAUAAGACUGGGAUAACUUCGGGAAACCGGAGCUAAUACCGGAUAAUAUAUUGAACCGCAUGGUUCAAUAGUGAAAGACGGUUUUGCUGUCACUUAUAGAUGGAUCCGCGCCGCAUUAGCUAGUUGGUAAGGUAACGGCUUACCAAGGCAACGAUGCGUAGCCGACCUGAGAGGGUGAUCGACCACACUGGAACUGAGACACGGUCCAGACUCCUACGGGAGGCAGCAGUAGGGAAUCUUCCGCAAUGGGCGAAAGCCUGACGGAGCAACGCCGCGUGAGUGAUGAAGGUCUUCGGAUCGUAAAACUCUGUUAUUAGGGAAGAACAAAUGUGUAAGUAACUAUGCACGUAUUGACGGUACCUAAUCAGAAAGCCACGGCUAACUACGUG